rnacentral:lncRNA from 1 species
GGUUGGGUGUCUCAGCCUGGGGGAUUCCUAGAGAGCUCCUAGUCUUUAGUCUACAAGGGAAUCCUCAAGAAAUCGAAUUUAAAUCAGCUGCAACAGGAUAGCCCAGCUUGCCAGCGAGAGUGAGAGCAUGUCCUCCUUCCAGGGCCUUUUCUGUGGGCUCCCUCCAGAAGGUGGCCUGUCAUGUGACUCAACCAAACCAACAUGAACAUGACUAGUGAGCUCACUAUCACCCUUCAAAAGACAAUGACGGGAGAAGACAAGCAAAUAGAAAAAAAAGGUUCCUAGCAUCGUCUUGAGGAAUGUACCAUCAUACAUUCUUCCCAAGUCCUUGGUCACAGAGCCUAUAGAAUUUUACUUGACAUGAAUGAGCACAAGCCAACACAAUUUUCUGGUGAGUCCCAGUGUAUUCAAUUUUUUUUUCUUUUUUUUUAAAGAUUUAUUUAUUAUUAUAUGUAAGUACACUGUAGCUGUCUUUAGACACACCGGAGGAGGGCAUCAGAUUUCAUUGUGAGUGGUUGUGAGCCACCAUGUGGUUGCUGGGAUUUGAACUCAGGACCUUUGGAAGAGCAGUCAGUGCUCUUACCCGCUGAGCCAUCUCUCCAGCCCCCAAUUUUUUUUCUUACAGGAAACCUGGACUACUAAAUUGGACUGUUUACGUUCCCAAGAAAGCAAAAGAUACUGCCCUCUGUCCCUCAUAGGCCCUUUACUUAGAUUCACACCAACAUCCCUGGCCCAGAACACACUGUGUGACUGCCAAUGGCCUUGAACUGUGUUCCUUCUGCUUUCACCUCUGGAGAGCUGAUAUUACAUACCUAGCUCUAAGAGUAUUUCUUUUUAUCUUUUUAUUGAUUCUUUGUGAAUUUCAUAUCAUGUACCCCAAUCCCACUCAUCUCCCCCUUCCCUUUUUAUCUACCCUCUGCCCAAGGAAAUAAAAAACUAAAAUUAAAAAAACAAAACACCUUAUCGUGGAAGCUGUAGUGUGUCACUGUGCUCCACAGUUUCUCGCCCACAUAGUGUUCCUCACAAGUGUCCGUUGCAGUGGGUCCCUGGUGGGGUGUGAGGCCUCUGGCUUCUGCUCCACUGUCAAUAUUGGAUCAUCACUGAGACUCCUCUCAGAGAUCCUGUUGUUGCUUGGUGUCAUGGAGAACCUACAGCUUUGGAUUGGCAGGACCUGCCCUUUCAUGCACCCCAGCAGUUCAUCUAUGGGGUGGAUGUUGGGAUGAGCCAACUUAAAGGCCCAGAUCUGGGCCUGGCUGGUAGCUGAAAUGGUCUAUUAGUUGUGAUCUUGAAGAGUCAGUUGAAGCUUGCAGUUCAAUGGAAUGUCCCUCAGUUUCCUCAAUGCCUACCUCUAUGGUCUAAAUAUGUUCAUAUUGAAAAGUUCAUGUCUCGAGUUGGCCAUGGUGGCACACACCUUUAAUCCCAGCACUUGAGAGGUAGAGGCAGAUGGAGCUCAGUGAGUUUGAGGUCAACCAGGAAUAUACAGUUAGACUGUCUCUAAACUUCACACCUUGGAACUUAACUCCCAAGGUGACAGUUACAAAUGGGGCCACUAGGCCUGGUAGUGCAUGCUAUAAUCUAGCCUUGGGAGGUAGAGGCAGGAGGAUUGGGUAUUUAAAGGUCACCCCCGGAUAUUACAUUAGUCAGGAUUCUCUGAAGCAGUCCCAUUCGUGUCUGUAUGCUAUCUGGAGAGUUGCUGGUCUUCGUGUUAAAAGGCUGAAAUAACUGGCUUCUGCUAUCACUGACAGACGGUGGCAGUGUGGCAGUGGCGUUGGCAGCAGCCCUCAACACAAAAAGGCAAGCAGGCAAAAAGCCAAAGAUUUUUCUCUCAGAGCUCUUUACGUCAGGGCCACUGGAAGGUGCUGCUCACAUACAGGGACUUUUCCACUUCAGUUAACCUAAUCAAAAUCGCUCACAGCCUGCCAGAGGCUUGUCUCAUUGCUGAUUCUUGGGAGCGGAGAAACCCAUCCAAUGCUGAAUUUCCCAAAUGCCUAAAUUUUGUACCUCCCAGCUUCUAGAACUGUGUGGACUAUGUUUCUGUUGUUUAUAAAUUACCCAGUCUAAGUCAUUUUAUUAUAGCAUCCCAAAGUGGCUGUGACAGCUAUGUUGAAGGUGCUCCUUUUUGGCAGGCACACAAUGGAAGAGAUGUACCUCUAGGGUAUUGUGUUAGGAAGCACGUGGUCUCUGUGUGACUCUUUAUGAUGCUACAGUUGUGGUCGCAAAAUUUCUCCCCUGUAAAGUCAGGGUUUCCCCCCUUGGCAAGUUAACAAGCAAUUUGUGGGAAGAUACUUUGAGACCAUGUAAAUGUCUCAUUAGCUAUUUAACCCUCGCCUGUUAACAUCCAUCGAUGAGUCUGAGCAGAGUCAAGCAUUAAUGAUAACAAUGUUUUACUUCUUAAGAGUUUCUGUCUCCUAAUAAAAAACACUAAACAUC